rnacentral:rRNA from 1 species
CCUACGGGAGGCAGCAGUGGAGAAUAAUGGACAAUGGGGGAAACCCUGAUGGAGCGACGCCGCGUGGGGGAAGGAAGGUCUCGGGAUGGAAAACCCCAGUAAUGGGGGAGAAAAUUAAAAAGAUAGUACCACAAGAGGAAGAGAAGGAUAACUCUGCGCCAGCAGCCGCGGGAAUAGAGAGGGCGCAAGCGUGGUUCGGAAUCACUGGGCGGAAAGCGUGCGUAGGCGGUUGCGUAAGUCUGGUGUGAAAGGCGCGGGCUCAACCCGCGGACGGCACUUGAUACUGCGAGACUAGAGUACUGGAGAGGUAACCGGAAUUCUCGGUGUAGCGGUGAAAUGCGUAGAUAUCGAGAGGAACACUCGUGGCGAAGGCGGGUUCCUGGACAUUAACUGACGCUGAGGCACGAAGGCCUGGGGAGCGAAAAGGAUUAGAUACCCCGGUAGUC